rnacentral:lncRNA from 1 species
AGGAAACACAUUUCUACUGUUUAAGCCACUUGGCUGGGAGUACUUGGUUAUGGCAGCCUGAGCAGACUAAACCAGCACCUCAAAGAGUUGUUAUAGGGUAUGCUUAGUGGUAACUGGUUCCUAAAGGCCUUGCUUUCUAAGGCUGACUCCUCACCCUGCAAGGAUGCAUUCUCCCCACUGGCAGAUAUGCAACCAGGAACAGGCAUUAACACGCUUUAUUCCCAGAGUUUUAAUAUUUUCCAUUGCAUAAAAUAUUUGUUCAUGAAAAUGACAAAAUUGCUAUUAGAUUCUAUCACCACAUCUCUGUUGAUUUUACUUUCUGCAAACACAUACAAGUAAUGUAGGCAUACAGUUAAAAAUGAAACCUUAUCCUGUAGUUCCAGCUACUAGGGAGGCUGAAGCAAGAGAAUGGCAUGAACCUGGGAGGCGGAGCUUGUCGUGAGCCCAGAUCAGGCCACUACACUCCAGCCGGGGCAACAGAGCGCAACUCCGUCUCAAAACAAACAAACAAAACAAAACAAAAAAAACUUAUAGACAAGUACAAAAUGAGAAGAAAAAGUCCCUUUCCCUUCAUGCCUCUACUUCCUGCUGUAUUCUCAAAGGUAAGCACUGAUUACAGUUUACUUAUGGAUCUUUCCAGGAAAAUAUUUUAUGCAUUUAUCAGAAAAUGUAAGUAUAUGCAUCCUUUAAAAUUCUGCAUAAAUCAAACUCUGCAGGGUACUAUCUUCCCAUCCUCAUUUGAUAUUUUGUAGAUCUUUUCCUAUUGGCUGUACAGAUCACCUCAUUCUGUCUCCUGGGUCAUACAAUAUAGCUCACAUAAUUCUAAGUCUGAAGGUUGGUCCAAAUGGUUCCAAGAAUGCAGGUACCAAAAAGUAGUCUCUUGAAGAGGCCAUCAGAGACCUGGCUGUUUGUAUCUUCCUCCUCUGCCAUCCACAGUGUCAUCUUCACCCAAGGUGGCUGGAGAAGCUGUUAGGAAUAUGUGGUUUUUUAAAAAUUACAUUCAUAGGAAAAGGGGAGGGAAGAGAAGAAGAAAACCUCUCCCCCUAAGCUCAUGGCUCUUUUUAGUCAGGCUGAGCCAACUAAAGUCAUGUACUUCCCUUAGAUAGGUAACUGUUGCCAGGAAAAUGCCCUGUGUGGAUUGGCCUGGACUAAGCAGGAUCCUCCUCUAAAGAGAGAGAUGAGAUGAAUGCCUGACCCAAGUCUGGGAUCUUGGGUGGGAAGCGUGUGGAUAGUAGGUCAGAGGUCAGCAGUGUCUGUGGUGUAGGAUGUAAUCCCAUCUCCACAGAGCUGCAUACAAGUGUGUUUAAGUGUGUGCAAGUGAUUAACUUUGAUUAGUAGUUUCAACUCUUUACAAUGAACAUAUUUAUCUUUUUUAAAAAAUAAAGCCAUUUUAAAAGAUCUUGCCAUAAAACAAUCAUUCCUUAAGUCACCACUUAGGAUAGACCUAGAAUAUUUGUCCUUUCUCAAGAGCACCAGAGAGUUUUCUGGUAAUCCACGCAAUAAACAGUUAUAAAAGGUAAUUGUUGAGAUCAGGGGAAGAUGGCAGAUAGGAGGCAGUGCUAAUGUGUAGCUCCCACAUGGAUGGACAAAACACCAUGUGGAGACUCACACUGUGACCCUGUUGUGCUCCAAGAACUAUCAUAGGAACGUACUGGGAAAACCAAAAGAAUUCACGGAUCCUUUGAAAGAAGACGCACACCACUGUAAAUUCUGUGGAACAGGAGAAAAACUGUCUUGGAGGAAGGCAUCCUUCUAUUCUACUGAUCAGAAAGCUGGACAAAGUCCCACUGCCAGGCUACACAGUUGGUGCCAUUUGCGGAGGUGACCUUUGACCUUUAACCCACGCGGCCACCCGCCCGAGCUCUUACCCCUGCUGCCCCUCGCGCGUCCCACUCCCCGUCCCUGCCGGAUCCGCUUCCCUGCGCUGGGCCCAGCGCGCCGCCAGGGAAGGGGCCGGAGCCUGGGAGCCCGCCCCGCCGUCGCCCGUCCUCCGCCCGCAGGCCCACCCGCAGCGGUCACGUGAAGGACCGAGCGCCGCGCGCCCAGGCGGGGCCUCCGGCCUGCACGAGGAGGGCAGAGUCCGUUGCGGCUGCCGCCCCGACGCCCGCGCAUCCCCGCUCGCCGCGCCCGCCGCCGCGAUGUCCGGGGCCGGCCUAGCCGCGGUGGUGAGCUGCCUGCGCCCGCAGCCCGGCGAGGAGCCGCAGACCCAUGAGGACCUUCUCCUGGCAGCUGCCUAUGUUUUGGAUGCCCAGUACAACAGAAAUGUUCCAUUUGAAACUCACCUCAGGCCAUCAGACGUUACUAUUUUUAUAACCACUAGACAACGCAGGUUGCCGCAUACUUCUUUAUUUGUGUAGACCUCGCUCUUGCCCUGUUUGAAGAGCCUGAGUUGCUUCCCCUGCCUUUCUUGGCCACCUCAAUAGCAGAAGUACUCUGCCUGACUGCAUACUUUGGCAGACUGGUACAUUUUGCAAAAGUCACUCCUCAAAUGGUUUUCUGGAAGGAUACAAAAGACAUCUGCACCAUGGUAACCACAGUGGCGAGUGUUCAUUGUAGUACCUGUAAGAGUUUAUGACCAAAGGCAGGAGCCAUGAAGAAAAAAGACUCAAUAGAUUUGCUUUUGAUGAAACAACAACACUUCCAUACAGUGAACGCCAUAAGCACAACUGCAAGCAAACCGCAAACUGAAGAACAAAUAGGGCAAAAUGUGGCAGUGCAGACAUUUCAGCAUAUCAAGAGCACUUCCAAAUUACAGGAAAAAAAAGAUAUCUCAAUAGAUAAUUUUGCUGAAGAUAAGUGAAGGCAACUCAUAAGGAAAAAAUAUGUAAAAUGGCCGAUAGGAAAGAUGUUUAACGUCACUAAUUAAAAAUUAUAGAAUAAAACGACAAUAAAAUACCAUGUGUUUGCCUAUAAAACAA